rnacentral:rRNA from 1 species
UGCGUAGGCGGUUUUUUAAGUCAGAUGUGAAAGCCCUGGGCUUAACCUGGGAACUGCAUUUGAGACUGGAAGACUCGAGUUGAGUAGAGGGGAGUGGAAUUUCAGGUGUAGCGGUGAAAUGCGUAGAGAUCUGAAGGAACACCAGUGGCGAAGGCGACUCCCUGGACUCAAACUGACGCUGAAGUACGAAAGCGUGGGUAGCAAACA